UACGGGGGGGGGCAAGCGUUGUUCGGAAUUACUGGGCGUAAAGGGCUCGUAGGCGGCCAACUAAGUCAGACGUGAAAUCCCUCGGCUUAACCGGGGAACUGCGUCUGAUACUGGAUGGCUUGAGUGUGGGAGAGGAAUGCGGAAUUCCAGGUGUAGCGGUGAAAUGCGUAGAUAUCUGGAGGAACACCGGUGGCGAAGGCGGCAUUCUGGACCAUUCUGACGCUGAGGAGCGAAAGCCAGGGGAGCAAAGCGGG
rnacentral:rRNA from 1 species